rnacentral:rRNA from 1 species
GACGUAGGAUGCAAGCGUUGUCCGGAUUUAUUGGGCGUAAAGAGUUCGUAGGUGGUUUGUUAAGUCUGAUGUUAAAGACUGGGGCUCAACCUCGGAAAUGCAUUGGAUACUGGCAGACUCGAGUGCAGUAGAGGCAAGUGGAAUUCCAGGUGUAGCGGUGAAAUGCGUAGAUAUCUGGAAGAACACCGGUGGCGCAAGCGACUUGCUGGGCUGUAACUGACGCUGAGGAACGAAAGCUAGGGGAGCAAAUGGG